rnacentral:rRNA from 1 species
AGCAGUAGCCGCGGGAAAACGUAGGGUGCAAGCGUUAAUCGGAAUUACUGGGCGUAAAGCGUGCGCAGGCGGUUAUAUAAGACAGAUGUGAAAUCCCCGGGCUCAACCUGGGAACUGCAUUUGUGACUGUAUAGCUAGAGUACGGCAGAGGGGGAUGGAAUUCCGCGUGUAGCAGUGAAAUGCGUAGAUAUGCGGAGGAACACCGAUGGCGAAGGCAAUCCCCUGGGCCUGUACUGACGCUCAUGCACGAAAGCGUGGGGAGCAAACAGGAUUAGAUACCCCCGUAGUCCCUGUCUCUUAUAC